ensembl:lncRNA
CCCCAAACAGCCUAGCAGAAACAGGAUAGAUGUCUGCUGUUUUGAGCCUGCAAGAAUUCAGUACCUGCCUCUCUCCACUGGUACUUGGAUACAUGUCAUAGGCCAGAGUGUACUUUGAGUCAGGUAUGCUACUUCAGAGAGAUUCUGCACAUUUUUGGGAUGUUUGAAAUUAGCAAGCAUUGCCACUAUGGGAUUCCAGAUUGCUGUCAUCGCUCCCAAUUGAAAGCCCAUGACUGCUAGAGCCCUCCCCUCUCAUCCCCUGGGAACUACUAACGUCUGGGCCCUAUGGCUUUGCCUACUGUAGAAUUUCAUGAUUGUGCUUCAGGAAAGGAAGAGAGAUUCAACCAGGACACCGUCAGCUUCUGCUGUCUCAAGUCUGCCUAGGGGGCAGCCCUCUAUAACUGAACACUGGUGAACCUGAUCUUACGAGGACUGUGACAGAUCCUUUUCUGGCGGGUAGCUCGUGCUGUGUGAAACGAGCCGUUAUCUGCGGUCACCUCACCGCGCAGCAGCAGCAGCAGAACUUCAUGCUACUGCCGAGAAGUGGCUCAGUACUGCAUCACCAGUCCACAUCCCCUUCAGUCUCUCGCAGCUACCCUUCUGCUCUGCACUGCUGUGAGAUCAACGCUAUCUGGAUUCCAA